AAAAACAGUUCCACUUGACGUCCUUUUAUUGUUAUUGACAAUUUCUAUCAAUGUCACCAAAGGGGAGAUGAAAUCCUCUCUACAUAGAUAAGUUAUUUUUCAACGAACCAUUUCAAGAAGCAUAUUUACCCCAACCACCAGUGGUACAUUCUUUAAUUCCACCGUAUGAUUUCUUCGUAGGGUUGAUAGCUUGAUAUGGCAGAAUGACAAAAUCAUACCGUAGAAAUCAUUUCAAUACGUUUAAUCACUUCUAGGACAACGUAAAUCAUUCCAAUGUACUGAAUCCAAAGGAGUUCCCUAUGAACUUCAAUGAACCACUUCAAGAAGCAUACUUAUCUCAACCACCCUCAAUACAUUCUUUAGUUGUUUGUUUCUAUUUCUCGAGUGGACUAUUGCUUAGAUACUAUUACCUACCUCUGUAGCUGGAUUGCCAAUCUCCUCAAAUGUAACAUCUUCAGAUCCAGUUAAAAUAGGAAACAAAUUGCACUAUAUAUGUAUCAUAUCCCUAGAAAUAUUAAAGAAAACAUAACUAGCAUUGAUAGUCUUGUUUUUAACGAGAUGAUCUUAUUGUUACCAGUGUUCACAAGCACAUCAUCAAUUUCUUCUCCUGCACUUUCAUCAGCUUCAAUAUUACGGAUGCAACUGUCACAUCGUCACUGCUUAUGUUUUGCAAUGUCUAGUGGAGGAAGUUGCUCCUCGGGGUUACGAAUAAUUGAUCCAUCAAAAGGUGAACAAAUAUUCAUGUCCUUCUUUCUCAUCUCAGCAACAGAUCGUCUAUAUCACACGAAAAAUGACCAACACAUAUAUUGGAUUAUUUCCUUGUCCGAUGAGUUAAUUUUUCAAGCGAUCACUCAACUACUAGUUAUUAUUUAGAAUUAUCCAGAGGGGAUUUGUGUGCCCAGAAAUGUCGGGGGCUGACAACACUAGAAGAAAUUACUUCACAUUUGCGAGGUAAACUUACCUCCUUCGCCAAGUUGUUGUAUAGCUACCACGAAUUUGGCAUGAAGAUCCUCCGUCCAUUGUGCACGCCCUUCGCCUAACAGUCUUGCACUUCUUAUAUUUUUCCCUCAUUAAUCUCAUUUAUCCCAAGGCAAGUUGGGGCUCAAGGAAGUGUUCAUCAUCCAGUUCCUCCGAUACGAGUGAUGUACAAGAAUCAGUUACAGGAGUACACCCAAAAACUUUCGGAUACGAGUGAUGUAUAAGAAUCAGUUACUCCGGAGUACACCCAAAAACUUUCGGAUACGAGUGAUGUACAAGAAUAAGUUACAAGAGUACACCCAAAAACUUGCGAAACAGCUUCCAAGUUAUCAAACAAACAAUGAAGGUUCUCCACAUAUGCCAAAGUUUAGAAAAACAGUAUUAGUUAACUAGUUCUGGUACUUUUGUUAACUCGAAUGCUGCUAAUGCUGGGACAAUGGCAAGAUGACUUACUGUUAAUGCAAGAUAUGUUGAAGAUUGA